GACGAACGCUGGCGGCGUGCCUAACACAUGCAAGUCGAACGGAGUACCCUUCGGGGUGCUUAGUGGCGAACGGGUGAGUAACGCGUGAAGAACCUGCCUUUCAGUGGGGGACAACAGUUGGAAACGACUGCUAAUACCGCAUAAUGUUAUUUGGGGGCAUCCUCGAAUAACCAAAGAUUUAUUGCUGAAAGAUGGCUUCGCGUCUGAUUAGCUAGAUGGCGGGGUAACGGCCCACCAUGGCGACGAUCAGUAGCCGGUCUGAGAGGAUGAACGGCCACAUUGGGACUGAGAUACGGCCCAG
rnacentral:rRNA from 1 species